rnacentral:rRNA from 1 species
CCUACGGGAGGCAGCAGUGGGGAACAUUGGGCAAUGGAGGAAACUCUGACCCAGCGACGCCGCGUGCGGGAUGAAGGCCUUCGGGUUGUAAACCGCUUUCAGUAGGGAAGAAGCGAAAGUGACGGUACCUACAGAAGAAGCACCGGCUAACUAUGUGCCAGCAGCCGCGGUAAUACAUAGGGUGCAAGCGUUGUCCGGAAUUAUUGGGCGUAAAGAGCUCGUAGGUGGUUCGUCACGUCGGAUGUGAAAAUCUGGGGCUCAACCCCAGACCUGCAUUCGAUACGGGCGAUCUAGAGUGUGGUAGGGGAGACUGGAAUUCCUGGUGUAGCGGUGGAAUGCGCAGAUAUCAGGAGGAACACCAAUGGCGAAGGCAGGUCUCUGGGCCAUUACUGACACUGAGGAGCGAAAGCGUGGGGAGCGAACAGGAUUAGAUACCCUGGUAGUCCACGCCGUAAACGGUGGGCACUAGUUGUGGGAACCUUCCACGGUUUCUGCGACGCAGCUAACGCAUUAAGUGCCCCGCCUGGGGAGUACGAUCGCAAGNUUAAAACUCAAAGAGAUGCGNGNGAGAGCGACGACGACGACGACGGAGGAGAG